rnacentral:rRNA from 1 species
CCUACGGGAGGCAGCAGUGAGGAAUAUUGGUCAAUGGACGAGAGUCUGAACCAGCCAAGUAGCGUGAAGGAUGACUGCCCUCUGGGUUGUAAACUUCUUUUAUAUGGGAAUAAAACGUUCCACGUGUGGGAUUUUGUAUGUACCAUAUGAAUAAGGAUAGGCUAACUCCGUGCCAGCAGCCGCGGUAAUACGGAGGAUCCGAGCGUUAUCCGGAUUUAUUGGGUUUAAAGGGAGCGUAGGUGGAUUGUUAAGUCAGUUGUGAAAGUUUGCGGCUCAACCGUAGAAUUGCAGUUGAAACUGGCAGUCUUGAGUACAGUAGAGGUGGGCGGAAUUCGUGGUGUAGCGGUGAAAUGCUUAGAUAUCACGAAGAACUCCGAUUGCGAAGGCAGUUCACUGGACUGCAACUGACGCUGAGGCUCGAAAGUGUGGGUAUCAAACAGGAUUAGAUACCCUUGUAGUC